GGUGAAGCAGCAGCGCCCUGUGCUGGGCCCACAGAAGAGGGUAAAAGCUUACAGCACCUGGUGUUCCCAGGCGAAUCCUCUUCCAAGUCCCUAUCCGACGCUCAACCGACCAAUGGUUGAGCGCUGCUGAGCGCAGUUGAGCACGGACCAGUUUAGCGCUCAACCCACCAAUCAUUGAGCGAGAACUGGAUUUAUUCAUUUCCAGCGGUCGCUGAGAGAAACAGAUGAAAACUAUAGAGAAAGAAUGAGCUCAGAUGCAGCCAAGGCUGUGGCAGGGGCCCCCUGUGCCGUCCCGGACCCUGUCUGGCUGGACCCCAAGCGGGCCGAGGCGGCGUCCAAGAGGGCCGGGGGGGAGGUGUGGCGAGGCCGGCCG